GCGGCCGCGUGGAGCCGCUCGGAGGCGGCGGGCCCGCAUCGCUGAGCGAGGCGAAGUGAAAAAAGCCGCUUCUCGAGGGAGCCAGAGAUGGGAACUGCAGCCCAAACGACAGCAUUAUGAAGGUACUUUGGUCUUACCGGCUUGGAGAAAGAUGGGGAUGCUGCUGAAUGCAUGUACUGCAAAGAGGGGGCUCCGGCAUCCUGCGGGAAUCCCUCCAGGCAGACAAAGCCUUCCACAGCCUCCAGUAGCACCCAGACAGCACAACCCCAGCAUGUGUGCACAGGGGAUGACACCACAACAUGGGUGCCAAGACCACCCCUUUUCCUUGCUUAGGUCAGGAUGACAAAAAAGCAAGGCGGCAGUACUCAGUUUCCAGCCUGAAAUACGCUGACCUGCUCAAAUGAAUACAUGCCUUCAUAAAAAACGCUCAGUCCUUGGGCAGGCAUGAAGUGAAGCUCUGACAUUCAGAGAGUUUUGUGUUGACAGCAUUGAAGAUUUGUGAUGAAACUUAUCAUCGGCGCCGAGUGCGGGCCAUUAGUACCAGUCACAGCAGCUAGCUGCUGCUGAUAUAUUUUAUGGCACGCUUCAAAGACAAACAUACACAUUUAUAUGUCACUUGUUGCAAUAUAAAUGCUAACUUGUACUUCUUUCAAAACUUUUAAUGAAUUGUAUACAUUUCGUGAGAUUUAUGGCGUGAACCGAACUGCUCAAAACAUUACUUUAAACAUAUUUGUCACUUUGGCAACAGAACAAAAAAAAUCUGGGAGAUAUUGCAUUUAGAAAUAAAUCAUAAAUAUAUGCAUCCUAAAGGAGUUUAUUUUGGUCAUUAAUAGUUGAUGCCCCCCCCCCCAGCUCAGGAUUUAAAGUUAAAUUAUGCAAAAUCAAAAACAAACCUUAUAAUACUUAAUCAAACAUGCAUAAAACUGUC
rnacentral:lncRNA from 1 species